CCCUUAGAUGUUCUGGGCCGCACGCGCGCUACACUGAUGCAUUCAACAAGCCUAGCCUUGACCGAGAGGUCCGGGUAAUCUUUGAAACUGCAUCGUGAUGGGGCUAGAUUAUUGCAAUUAUUAAUCUUCAACGAGGAAUGCCUAGUAAGCGUGAUUCAUCAAAUCGCGUUGAUUACGUCCCUGCCCUUUGUACACACCGCCCGUCGCUCCUACCGAUUGAAUGUGUUGGUGAGGAGCUCGGAUUGGCAGCAGUUGGGGGUUCGCCACCGGCUAUUGCUGAGAAGUCCUCCAAACCGCCCCAUUUAGAGGAAGGAGAAGUCGUAACA
rnacentral:rRNA from 1 species